UACAGAGGUGGCAAGCGUUGUUCGGAAUUACUGGGCGUAAAGGGCGCGUAGGCGGCCUUAUAAGUCUCGUGUGAAAGCCCUCGGCUUAACUGAGGAUCUGCACGGGAUACUGUAAGGCUCGAGUUCGGGAGAGGAAAGCGGAAUUCCGGGUGUAGCGGUGAAAUGCGUAGAGAUCAUGAGGAAGACCAGUGGCGAAGGCGGGUCUCUGGACAGUUCCUGACACUGAGACACGAAGGCCAGGGGAGCAAACGGG
rnacentral:rRNA from 1 species